rnacentral:rRNA from 1 species
UACAGAGACUGCAAGCGUUAUUCGGAUUCACUGGGCGUAAAGGGUGCGCAGGCGGCCAAGUGUGUUAGGCGUGAAAGCCCGGGGCUUAACCCCGGGUCGGCCGUGCCGACUGAAAAGCUGGAGCACUGUAGAGGCAGGUGGAAUUCCGGGUGUAGCGGUGAAAUGCGUAGAUAUCUGGAGGAACACCGGUGGCGAAGGCGGCAUCCUGGACCGAUACUGACGCUGAGGAGCGAAAGCCAGGGGAGCAAACGGG